CUUGGGAAAAAUUCACAAGAUCGGUAUUGUUUUAACACCGUAAGUCUCCUGCAUAUGGAAAUUGAGUUGAAUUUUUAUUAUGACAUAGCCUUAAAUUCUCAUUCUCUGACAGCUCUUGAGUAGUUUAUUUCAGCAGUCAGCACCAUCUCACACACACUCUACGCAGGGAAGCCGAUGAAUAUAAGUGAGUGUUCUGAAAAAGAAAAAAAAGAGAAAAAAAUAAAGGAAUGCACCUUCUAAGUUUGGUGACCCUCACCCGGUCACUUAACCCAACGGAUGUAGAACCUUCAAAAAAAAAUUGAAAAUAAGACUAGUUGUCAGUUGGUUCAGCGG
rnacentral:lncRNA from 1 species